GAUGAACGCUGGCGGCGUGCUUAACACAUGCAAGUCGAACGAUGAAGCCCAGCUUGCUGGGUGGGUUAGUGGCGAAAGGGUGAGUAAAACGUGAGAAUCCUGCGCCCGUCUCUGGGAUAAACGCUGGAAACGGCGGCGAAUAUUGGGUAUGUCACGUCCCCGCACGGGGUGGGGGUGGAAAGGUUUUGCGGUUGGGGAUGGGCUCGCGGCCUAUCAGCUUGUUGGUGGGGUAAUGGCUCACCAAGGCGUUGACGGGUAGCCGGCCUGAGAGGGUGACCGGCCACACUGGGACUGAGACACGGCCCAGACUCCUACGGGAGGCAGCAGUGGGGAAUAUUGCACAAUGGGCGGAAGCCUGAUGCAGCAACGCCGCGUGCGGGAUGACGGCCUUCGGGUUGUAAACCGCUUUUAGCAGGGAAGAAGCGAGAGUGACGGUACCUGGAGAAAAAGCACCGGCUAACUACGUG
rnacentral:rRNA from 1 species